rnacentral:rRNA from 1 species
UACGUAGGGAGCAAGCGUUGUCCGGAAUCAUUGGGCGUAAAGCGCGCGUAGGUGGCCUCAUAAGUCCGCUGUGAAAGUCAAAGGCUCAACCUUUGAAAGCCGGUGGAUACUGUCGGGCUCGAGUCCGGAAGAGGCGAGUGGAAUUCCUGGUGUAGCGGUGGAAUGCGCAGAUAUCAGGAGGAACACCAAUGGCGAAGGCAGCUCGCUGGGACGGUACUGACGCUAAGGCGCGAAAGCGUGGGGAGCAAACAGG